rnacentral:rRNA from 1 species
GCUCGGAAACGGACGCUAAUACCGCAUACGUCCUACGGGAGAAAGCAGGGGACCUUCGGGCCUUGCGCUAUCAGAUGAGCCUAGGUCGGAUUAGCUAGUUGGUGAGGUAAUGGCUCACCAAGGCGACGAUCCGUAACUGGUCUGAGAGGAUGAUCAGUCACACUGGAACUGAGACACGGUCCAGACUCCUACGGGAGGCAGCAGUGGGGAAUAUUGGACAAUGGGCGAAAGCCUGAUCCAGCCAUGCCGCGUGUGUGAAGAAGGUCUUCGGAUUGUAAAGCACUUUAAGUUGGGAGGAAGGGCAGUUACCUAAUACGUAUCUGUUUUGACGUUACCGACAGAAUAAGCACCGGCUAACUCUGUGCCAGCAGCGGCGGUAAUACAGAGGGUGCAAGCGUUAAUCGGAAUUACUGGGCGUAAAGCGCGCGUAGGUGGUUUGUUAA